UGUCACUGGAGAACUCCCGUGCUUCCUUAAGAUUUACAACCUGUUACAGGACAUUUGCCCUGUAACUUAUCGACUCUUGAGGUGCUUUCUGCAUCUUCUAAUUAUUUGAAUGGGAGCAUUCCAGAUAUUUUCAGCCAGCUGACAGAAUUAACAGAGAUUCGAUUCGCGGGCAAUUCUCUGUCUGGUAUGAUUCCACCCUCCAUCUUCAAUCUGUCUUCUCUCAUAAGAUUUUUCUCUGCAACCAAAUGAAAUCCAAGUAUCAAUAUCUAAUGCCUCAAGUCGAGGUCAUCUAGGAAUGCAAGGAAACAGCCUACAUGGUAAAGUCCCAUCUUUGGCAAAUUUGCACAAGCUUGAGAGAUUUUCUCUUACCUCCAACAAUCCAGGAAGUAGGAGACUUAAUGACUUGAGCUUUAUCUGACACCUAGGCAUUAAUAUGAACAAUUUUGGGGGUUUCUUACCUGAAUGCACAGCACUCUUGCACGGUUCUACGUAAGUGACAAUAAAUUAGUAGGAAGACUCCCAAAUGGGAUUGGAAAUUUAGUUAACUUGGAGAGCCUAUUUCUGUCUAUGAACCAAUUUCAGGGUUAACAUAUUUUCUUGUUGUUGAUCAA